rnacentral:rRNA from 1 species
AUUGAACGCUGGCGGCAGGCCUAACACAUGCAAGUCGAGCGGCUGAAGGGUGCUUGCUCCUGCUUUCGGCGGGGGAGGGUUGGUUAAUUCCUAGAAAUCUCCCUGGUGGUGGGGUAUAAGGUCCGGAAACGGGCGCUAUUACCCCAUUCGUCCUGAGGACGAACGGGGGGGAUCUUCGGACCUUCCGCUAUCAGUUGAUCCUAGGUCGGAUUAGCUAGUUGGUGGGGUAAAGGCCUACCAAGGCGACGAUCCGUAACUGGUCUGAGAGGAUGAUCAGUCACACUGGAACUGAGACACGGUCCAGACUCCUACGGGAGGCAGCAGUGGGGAAUAUUGGACAAUGGGCGAAAGCCUGAUCCAGCCAUGCCGCGUGUGUGAAGAAGGUCUUCGGAUUGUAAAGCACUUUAAGUUGGGAGGAAGGGCAGUAAGUUAAUACCUUGCUGUUUUGACGUUACCAACAGAAUAAGCACCGGCUAACUUCGUG